rnacentral:rRNA from 1 species
AUUGAACGCUGGCGGCAGGCCUAACACAUGCAAGUCGAACGGCAGCACAGAAGAGCUUGCUCUUUGGGUGGCGAGUGGCGGACGGGUGAGUAAUGUCUGGGAAACUGCCCGAUGGAGGGGGAUAACUACUGGAAACGGUAGCUAAUACCGCAUAACGUCGCAAGACCAAAGUGGGGGACCUUCGGGCCUCACACCAUCGGAUGUGCCCAGAUGGGAUUAGCUAGUAGGUGGGGUAAUGGCUCACCUUGGCGACGAUCCCUAGCUGGUCUGAGAGGAUGACCAGCCACACUGGAACUGAGACACGGUCCAGACUCCUACGGGAGGCAGCAGUGGGGAAUGUUGCACAAUGGGCGCAAGCCUGAUGCAGCCAUGCCGCGUGUAUGAAGAAGGCCUUCGGGUUGUAAAGUACUUUCAGCGGGGAGGAAGGCGGUGAGGUUAAUAACCUCGCCGAUUGACGUUACCCGCAGAAGAAGCACCGGCUAACUCCGUGCCAGCCGCCGCAGUAA